UCUUGAUUUUAAUCAUCAUCAAUUCCCAACAGUAACAUGAAUCGAUUGAAUUAAUUCCAGAUUGUUUCACAGAAAUCUCACAACAAAUACCCCAGAAGUUCAAAUCAAACCCAAAAUUUUGAGAGCGUUUGAGAAAUGGGGUGAACUGAUUGAAUUAACUUACUUCUUCGAUUACAGAAAAGUUGGAAAUCUCAAUUUGGGUUAGAGCUUCCCAUUUCAGUUAGGGUUUCCCAAGCUUUUCUCAAAGGCUUCAGGAUGCUCAUAGUCUUCUGCUAAAUUGAUUAGUCUCCAAUUCUCCAUUAAAUCAUUAAUCUCCAACAACGAACAACACCAGUUACUCCACCUCUCGAUCCAGAAGAAGAAUGAGAAAAGUCAGUGAUUUGUGGUAAGUUAUCACUCACGCCAGGGAGAAGACGAAGGGAAAGGAUUCAAGGAAGAAGGAACCAUCCAACUUCAACCAAGGAAACCCAUUAAGUCAUGGAUGCAUCAAGUCUAGCUUGUGGAACAGCUACUCCUAUACCUACUUCAGCUGCUACACCUACGUCUGCUACAUAUACAUUUGUUGGAUCCUCUAUCCAACCAACUUACUAUCUGAUGCAGCAUCUUGAUACCUUUCCUAAUUUUGGUCUUUUUAGAUUUCCUUUUUCUUUUAUAAUUCCUU